GAGUCACUGUUAGGCCCGGUCUGAAAAGUUGUCGCUAAAUAAGACAAUUCAGUGAAAACGGGUUAACAUUAGUAACAUAUUGAACUAGAAUUAAUUUACCCUCGGCUGGGAAUUCUUCAAACUCAUCGUCCUCCUCUAAUAAUCCCAAAUCUACAGUCUGUUUCUUGUCAGACAUGUUAACUGCCUUUCCGUUGCGCGGGUCUAUCGUGAACAAAUGGACUUCCAGCGAGAGGGUUUCUGGGAUAGUGGAGGUUCAAGAGAAGUCUGCUUGCUCAUGGGCAGUGCUCUGCCAACAGAAUCCCACGUCACACGAUGCUCCUGAUUCUGCACGAAGGCAGAGCAGGCAAAAGAUGGCACACAGACAGCAGAGUUGGGGACAGAUAUGCAGGGACAGACUGGCAGAGACAGGGAGUCUCAGUCGCUUGAGCUAAUGGACCUGCUCAAACCUCCACCUCCUCCUCCACCAUUGACCUACC
rnacentral:lncRNA from 1 species